UACGAAGGGGGCUAGCGUUGCUCGGAAUCACUGGGCGUAAAGGGUGCGUAGGCGGGUCUUUAAGUCAGGGGUGAAAUCCUGGAGCUCAACUCCAGAACUGCCUUUGAUACUGAAGAUCUUGAGUUCGGGAGAGGUGAGUGGAACUGCGAGUGUAGAGGUGAAAUUCGUAGAUAUUAGGAAGAACACCGGUGGCGAAGGCGGCCCACUGGCUCGGUACUGACGCUGAGGUGCGAAAGCGUGGGGAGCAAACAGG
rnacentral:rRNA from 1 species